CGUGGGCCGGGCGGGGGGAGCGGCGGGGAGCGCAGCGCUGGGCGGGCGGCGGCGGGCGGCUCGGCCCCGGGUGCCCCAGGGGCUGCCUGAGAGCCGGACGCGGCCCCGGGGCUCCUGCCGAGCGCGGAGCGUCCUUCCCCCGGCCCGCCCGGCUGGCACCGGCACCGGCAUCGGCAUCGGUAGCAACAUCAGCAUCAGCAUCGACACCGACAUCAGCAUCGGUAUCAACACCAACACCGGCAGCAGCACCAACAACCACCGGCACCGGUAUCAGCAUCGGUACCGACGUUGGCACCGGGUCCAGCCGGGAUCACUCGUCCCGCUCGGCACAGCACCUGCGCCCAAGGACUUGGGGACCUUGGCCUGUCCUCCACGGAGAGCGAUUCCCGGGGGACGCCGGUCGGAGCUGGAGGGGCCCCAGCCGGGACUCCCCGUCUCCCGUGGGAUCCCUCGCUGGCCGGGAGACGUCGGGAGCAGGAGCUGCCAGAGCGGGGCACGGAGCGGGACCCGGGCACGGGGGACACGCAGCGCCAGGCCAGGCUGGAGGGU